rnacentral:rRNA from 1 species
AGAGUUUGAUCCUGGCUCAGAACGAACGCUGGCGGCGUGGCUAAGGCAUGCAAGUCGAACGGGGCCUAUUCGCGGGUAACCGAGGGUAGGUUAAGUGGCGAACGGGUGAGGAAUGCUUGGAUAACGUACCCGGAACACAGGGAUAGCGGCGUCCAUGACACUUCGGUGUUGUGGACUUUGCGAAAGUGCCGGUAAUACCUGAUGAUCCAACCGCUUCGCAUGGAGUGGUUGGCAAAGGUCCGCUGGUUCCGGAGCGGUCCAAGUCCUAUCAGCUUGUUGGUGAGGUAAAGGCUCACCAAGGCGACGACGGGUAUCGGGCGUGAGAGCGUGGCCCGACACAUCGGAACUGAGACACUGUCCGGACACCUACGGGUGGCUGCAGCAACGAAUAUUCCGCAAUGGACGAAAGUCUGACGGAGCGACGCCGCGUGGAGGAUGAAGUUUUUCGGAAUGUAAACUCCUGUCAGGGGUUAGGAAGAUCUGACCAGCCCCAAAGGAAGCACCGGCUAAUUCCGUGCCAGCAGCCGCGGUAAUACGGAAGGUGCGAGCGUUGUUCGGAAUCACUGGGCUUAAAGAGCGUGUAGGCGGGAUGGUAGGUGCUUUGUGAAAUCCCUCGGCUCAACCGAGGAAUGGCUGGGCAAACCCCCAU